rnacentral:rRNA from 1 species
UACGUAGGGGGCAAGCGUUGUCCGGAUUUAUUGGGCGUAAAGAGCUCGUAGGCGGCUCACUAAGUCGGAUGUGAAAACUCCAGGCUCAACCUGGAGACGCCAUUCGAUACUGGUGUGGCUUGAGUUCGGUAGGGAGCACGGAAUUCCUGGUGUAGCGGUGAAUGACGCAGAUAUCAGGAGGAACACCGGUGGCGAAGGCGGUGCUCUGGCCGAAACUGACGCUGAGGAGCGAAGCGUGGUAGCAACAGG